rnacentral:rRNA from 1 species
UACAGAGGUCCCAAGCGUUGUUCGGAUUUACUGGGCGUAAAGGGUGCGUAGGUGGCGAGGUAAGUUCGAUGUGAAAUCUCCGAGCUCAACUCGGAAAUGGCAUUGAAUACUAUCCCGCUUGAGGGUCGGAGGGGAGACUGGAAUUCUCGGUGUAGCAGUGAAAUGCGUAGAUAUCGAGAGGAACACCAGUGGCGAAGGCGAGUCUCUGGACGACUCCUGACACUGAGACGCGAAAGCGUGGGGAGCAAACAGG